GACGAACGCUGGCGGCGUGCUUAACACAUGCAAGUCGAACGGAAAGGCCCUGCUUUUGUGGGGUGCUCGAGUGGCGAACGGGUGAGUAACACGUGAGUAACCUGCCCUUGACUUUGGGAUAACUUCAGGAAACUGGGGCUAAUACCGGAUAGGAGCUCCUGCUGCAUGGUGGGGGUUGGAAAGUUUCGGCGGUUGGGGAUGGACUCGCGGCUUAUCAGCUUGUUGGUGGGGUAGUGGCUUACCAAGGCUUUGACGGGUAGCCGGCCUGAGAGGGUGACCGGCCACAUUGGGACUGAGAUACGGCCCAGACUCCUACGGGAGGCAGCAGUGGGGAAUAUUGCACAAUGGGCGGAAGCCUGAUGCAGCAACGCCGCGUGCGGGAUGACGGCCUUCGGGUUGUAAACCGCUUUCGCCUGUGACGAAGCGUGAGUGACGGUAAUGGGUAAAGAAGCACCGGCUAACUACGUGCCAGCAGCCGCGGUGAUACGUAGGGUGCGAGCGUUGUCCGGAUUUAUUGGGCGUAAAGGGCUCGUAGGUGGUUGAUCGCGUCGGAAGUGUAAUCUUGGGGCUUAACCCUGAGCGUGCUUUCGAUACGGGUUGACUUGAGGAAGGUAGGGGAGAAUGGAAUUCCUGGUGGAGCGGUGGAAUGCGCAGAUAUCAGGAGGAACACCAGUGGCGAAGGCGGUUCUCUGGGCCUUUCCUGACGCUGAGGAGCGAAAGCGUGGGGAGCGAACAGGCUUAGAUACCCUGGUAGUCCACGCUGUAAACGGUGGGUACUAGGUGUGGGGUCCAUUCCACGGGUUCCGUGCCGUAGCUAACGCUUUAAGUACCCCGCCUGGGGAGUACGCCGCAAGGCUAAAACUCAAAGGAAUUGACGGGGCCCCGCACAAGCGGCGGAGCAUGCGGAUUAAUUCGAUGCAACGCGUAGAACCUUACCUGGGUUUGACAUGGAUCGGGAGCGCUCAGAGAUGGGUGUGCCUCUUUUGGGGUCGGUUCACAGGUGGUGCAUGGCUGUCGUCAGCUCGUGUCGUGAGAUGUUGGGUUAAGUCCCGCAACGAGCGCAACCCUUGUUCACUGUUGCCAGCACGUUAUGGUGGGGACUCAGUGGAGACCGCCGGGGUCAACUCGGAGGAAGGUGGGGAUGACGUCAAGUCAUCAUGCCCCUUAUGUCCAGGGCUUCACGCAUGCUACAAUGGCUGGUACAGAGAGUGGCGAGCCUGUGAGGGUGAGCGAAUCUCGGAAAGCCGGUCUCAGUUCGGAUUGGGGUCUGCAACUCGACCUCAUGAAGUCGGAGUCGCUAGUAAUCGCAGAUCAGCAACGCUGCGGUGAAUACGUUCCCGGGGCU
rnacentral:rRNA from 1 species